AUGGGCCGCUGGUCAGGCUCACCGUCAUACCUUGCCCUUCUGAUUGUCAAGUUCCUGGCAUCCAUUUGCCAGGUAGCUCACGGGAUCACCCCGCUUGGCUUUCACUUUACACAUUCCACUUACAAUGCUACAGUGUAUGAGAAUUCUGCAGCCAGGACCUAUGUCAACAGUCAAACGAGGAUGGGCAUUACCUUGGCUGACCUUUCAUGGGAUAUCAAGUACAGGAUAGUGUCUGGCGAUGACGAGGGCUUUUUUAAAGCAGAGGAAGUCGUCAUUGCUGACUUUUGCUUCCUAAGAAUAAGGACUAAAGGUGGGAAUUCUGCUAUAUUGAACAGAGAAAUCCAGGACAACUAUUUAUUGAUGGUGAAAGGGUCUGUCAGAGGAGAGGACUUGGAAGCGUGGACAAAAGUGAACAUCCAGGUUUUGGAUAUGAAUGACUUAAGACCUUUGUUUUCACCAACUACAUACUCUGUCACGAUAGCAGAAAGCACUCCUUUAAGGACUAGCAUUGCACAGGUGACUGCCACAGAUGCAGAUAUUGGGUCCAAUGGUGAAUUUUAUUAUUACUUUAAAAACAAAGUUGAUCUCUUCUCAGUUCAUCCUACGAGUGGUGUUAUCUCCUUAAGUGGCCGGUUAAACUAUGAUGAGAAAAACAGAUACGAUCUUGAGAUUUUGGCUGUGGACCGUGGGAUGAAGCUUUAUGGAAACAAUGGCGUAAGCAGCACUGCCAAGCUUUAUGUUCACAUUGAACGUAUAAAUGAACAUGCCCCAACGAUAAACGUAGUAACCCAUAUUCCCUUCCCAUCGGACAAGGAGCCUACCUAUGCAGUUGUUAACAUUGAUGACCUAGAUGAAGGAGCUAAUGGAGAAAUAGAAUCUGUUUCUAUUGUGGCUGGAGAUCCGCUAGAACAGUUCUUUCUGACUAAAGAAGGUAAAUGGAUGAAUGAGUACAAAAUCAAAGAAAGAAAGCCUAUUGACUGGGACAGCUUCCCAUAUGGUUAUAACUUGACUCUCCAAGCCAAGGACAAAGGAUCUCCUCAGAAAUUUUCUGCAGUCAAACUGGUCCACAUUGCUAGUCCCAAGAAAGAAAGUAUUCCCUUGAAGUUUGAAAAGGAAGCAUAUGAUGUUUCAAUCAGUGAAUUCUCGCCUCCUGGUGUGGUGGUUGCAGUAGUUAAGCUGAUGCCUGAACCACAGGGUGUGGAAUAUAGAUUAUCACCAAGUGAGGAAGCUGAGUAUUUUAAGAUCAAUCCCAACACAGGCCUUAUUACUACUGCCUGUCCUUUGAAAAUCAUUGAGAAGGACCUCUAUGAAUUACAAGUAUAUGCAAACAAAGGUGGUGAUUUAAAAGCACAAGUUACUGUCAGGUUAGAAGAUGCCAAUGAUCACACUCCAGAGUUCCAGCAACCUUCGUACAGCUCGUUCGUCAAUGAAAGCAUCCCCGUGGGGUCUAGCGUUUUGGCAGUUUCAGCAGUUGACAAAGAUAGGGGAGAAAAUGGAUACAUAACAUACAGCAUUGCCAGUCUGAACUCACUACCAUUUACUAUAAACCAGUUUACAGGUGUCAUCAGCACUUCUGAAGAACUGGAUUUUGAGUCCUCACCAGAAAGCUACAGGUUCAUUGUGAGAGCUUCUGACUGGGGUUCUCCCUACCGCCAUGAAAGCGAGGUCAAUGUCACCAUAUACAUAGGCAAUGUCAAUGAUAACAAACCCCUCUUUGAAAAAGUGGCGUGUCAGGGCGUGAUUUCAUCUGAUUUUCCUGUUGGUGGUCACAUCACUGCCGUUUCUGCAAUAGAUAUAGAUGAGUUAGAGCUUGUGAAGUACAAAAUAAUCUCUGGAAAUGAACUUGGCAUUUUUUAUUUAAAUCCUGACUCUGGUGUCCUGCAACUUAAAAAAUCUCUAAUUAAUUCUGGCAUAAAGAACAGCAAUUUUGGCCUUAAGAUCACGGCAACGGAUGGAGAGAACUUUGCUGAUGCUAUGUUUGUUAAUAUUUCGGUAGUUCAUGGGAAAGUGUCUUCCAAGACCUUUAGCUGUAGAGAAACUAGAGUUGCUCAGAAGCUAGCAGAAAAAUUACUCAAAAAGGCAAAAGCAAAUGUGAAACUGAAUUCAGAAGAUGGUUUUCUCGAUUUUUAUUCGGUGAACAGGCAGGCACCCCAUUUUGACAAAUCCUUCCCUACUGAUGUAAAGGUUUCAGAGGAUCUGCCAGUUGGUGCCACCAUCCUGAGGAUAAAAGCCUAUGAUGCAGACUCAGGCUUUAAUGGGAGAGUAGUUUAUACAAUUUCUGAUGGUAAUGUAGAUAGCUGUUUCAACAUUGACAUGGAGACUGGGAUACUUAAUGUUCUUAUGCCCUUAGACCGUGAAAAAAAAGAGCUCUAUCUCCUUAAUAUUACAAUUUAUGAUUUGGGUAGUCCACAGAAAUCUGCAUGGAGAUUGUUGACUGUCACGGUGGAGGAUGCAAAUGAUAACAAGCCUGUUUUUUUACAGGACAGUUACUCAGUUAAUAUUUUAGAAAGUACAAGUCUUGGUACAGAGAUUAUUCAAGUAGAAGCCAGAGAUAAAGACCUAGGAUCCAACGGGGAAGUGACUUACUCAGUACUGACAGACACCCAGCAAUUUGCCAUCAACAGUUCCACGGGAAUGGUAUACGUGGCUGAUCAACUAGACCGGGAAUCAAAAGCAAACUAUACACUGAAGAUUGAGGCUAGGGACAAAGCAGAGGGUGGCCAUCAGCAGUUUUCCGUUGUGCCUCUGAAGGUUUUUUUAGAUGAUGUCAAUGAUUGCUCUCCAGCCUUUAUACCGUCCAGCUACAACGUGAAGGUCCUUGAGGACCUGCCAGUUGGCACUGUCAUAGCUUGGUUGGAAACUCAUGAUCCAGAUCUCGGCUUGGGAGGUCAAGUCCGUUACUCACUGGUGAAUGAUUACAACGGGCGGUUUGAGAUAGACAAAGCGAGCGGUGCCAUCCGCUUGAACAAAGAGCUCGAUUACGAGAAGCAGCAGUUCUACAACCUAACUGUGCGCGCAAAGGACAAGGGGCGCCCGGUUUCUCUCUCUUCUGUUUCCUUUGUGGAAGUUGAAGUGGUGGAUGUUAACGAAAAUCUCUAUACCCCCUAUUUUCCUGACUUUGCCGUAAUUGGAUCUGUAAAGGAAAACUCCCGCAUUGGCACAAGUGUUUUGCAAGUUAUUGCUCGAGACGAGGACUCUGGAAGGGAUGGAGAGAUCCAGUAUUCCAUCAGGGAUGGCAGCGGCCUGGGGAGAUUCAGCAUAGAUGAAGAAACCGGUGAGUUUUGUUUCUAA